GACGUGUGGCUGUCGUAAAAACCCUAUUUGUAAACAACCAGCCCUUUAACUCGGGGCUGCGUCAUAAACACGGCGCGCUUGGAAGACCACGAUGUCAUCUUCCUUCUGUCAGGAGGAUCCAAGUGAAGCUACAGGAGUUUCAUUAACGUCAACAACUUGGACCAAACAGUUUGUUUUGCUUGAUGAAGAGCAGGAAGGGCAGCCUGGAGAGAAAGAGAAGCCGGGUUGAGCCCACUACCAUCAUCCACGUACCACGAGGAAGAUGAGGGAGAGAAAUGAUCCUACCAUUAAAGAGACUGUGAAAAGAACGUUGAGAACAUCACCACUCUACAGGAAGACACAGUCCAGUAAUGGGUGUCAGAAGUUCAGUAGUGAACGACAGAAACAAACAAUCCAAAUUACCUGCAGAAAGCCCUUGAUGGACGCUUCAGCUGCAUCGUCAGACUGGCAGUACUGAUGCAUUUACUGAGACGGGACGUGAGGGCCUACUCUGCGUGCUCAGAGUUCAAGCCCAGCAGGCUGCAGCGGGCCUGACAUAUUCCGGAACAGCAGCACAGUCUUUGGAUGACUCCUCUGAAGAUGAAAACAUGGCGAGUUCUUCUCAAGAGAAGCAGUACAGGUGUGCCUCAGCUCCACGGUCCCUCCUGCAGCCUCCGCUCCUGAUGCUAACCUCAUGUCUCCAUCACACCAAGCAGCAGACCUGGAGUGACAGACCUUUCUCCAGAGCUGCCCCCUCCCUCUGAAACCCCCCUCUCCAAAACACUAUUUGUGUAGUUUUUAAAGUAUUUUUUGCAUGAGAAUUGUUGAUCAUAACAUUUCCAGCAGAUGCCUUAAUAUAAUGUUUGUGCACAAUAAAUGACAUUGAUCAUA